rnacentral:rRNA from 1 species
AUCGAACGCUGGCGGCAGGCCUAACACAUGCAAGUCGAACGAGUGGCGGCCGGGUGAGUAAUGUAUGGGAAACUGCCCGAGGGCGGGGGAUAACUUCUGGAAACGGUGGCUAAUACCGCAUACUACCGGCUGCGCCCCGAUGGGUUUAGCUAGUAGGUGGGGUAAAGGCUCACCUAGGCGACGAUCCCUAGCUGGGCUGAGAGGACGACCAGCCACCCUGUGACGGAGACACGGUCCAGACUCCUACGGGAGGCAGCAGUGGGGAAUAUUGCACAAUGGGCGCAAGCCUGAUGCAGCCAUGCCGCGUGUAUGAAGAAGGCCUUCGGGUUGUAAAGUACUUUCAGCGGGGAGGCGUUACCCGCAGAAGAAGCACCGGCUAACUCCGUGCCAGCAGCCGCGGUAAUUC